rnacentral:rRNA from 1 species
CGCCGGUGUAACAGCCGGUGCUGUCCCUCUUGGAGAUUCGCGUCUCCCUGAGGUGACCGGGCCUCUCCUUCAUUGGGGAGGUCGGCCUUUUACCAACCACACACACCAAACUCAAACCUAAAGAUUUGAUAUGCAUUCGGCCUGGCCGGUGCAUCCAAACAGAGACAACUCUCAACAACGGAUAUCUUGGCUCUCGCAACGAUGAAGAACGCAGCGAAAUGCGAUACGUAGUGUGAAUUGCAGAAUUCCGUGAAUCAUCGAAUCUUUGAACGCAUAUUGCGCCCGAGGUCUUUGACCAAGGGCAUGUCUGCCUCAGCGUCGGGUUAAUACUCGCCCCCUCUUCUCAUUUAUGAGCAGAACGGGCGGAUCUGGCCGUUCCAGCAAUCAUUCAUUGAGUGCUGGAUCAGCCGAAGAACAGAGGCUAACCAAGGACCCGUCAAGGGCCGCAACUGGGUGGGCAGCUCACGCUUGCUAUAUCAUCUUGGUUGUUGGUCUGGGACUUUGUUUGUUAGGCCCAAAACAGGAACCCUUCUCUAUUUUCUCGACCUGAGCUCAGGCAAGAACACCCGCUGAACUUAAGCAUAUCAAUAAGCGGAGGAA